rnacentral:rRNA from 1 species
GUGGAUUAGAUACCCUGGUAGUCCACGCCCUAAACGAUGUCGACUGGUUGUUGGGGAAUUUAUUUCCUUAGUAACGAAGCUAACGCGUGAAGUCGACCGCCUGGGGAGUACGGUCGCAAGAUUAAAACUCAAAGGAAUUGACGGGGGCCCGCACAAGCGGUGGAUGAUGUGGUUUAAUUCGAUGCAACGCGAAAAACCUUACCUACCCUUGACAUGUCCUGAACCCUGCUGAAAGGUGGGGGUGCCCGAAAGGGAACGGGAACACAGGUGCUGCAUGGCCGUCGACAACU